rnacentral:rRNA from 1 species
GAGUGACCGCUGGCGGUAGGCCUAACCCAUGCAAGUCGAACGGCAGCAUAGUAAGAGCUUGCUCUUACGGGUGGCGAGUGGCGGACGGGUGAGGAAUACAUCGGAAUCUACUUUUUCGUGGGGGAUAACGUAGGGAAACUUACGCUAAUACCGCAUACGACCUACGGGUGAAAGCAGGGGAUCUUCGGACCUUGCGCGAUUGAAUGAGCCGAUGUCGGAUUAGCUAGUUGGCGGGGUAAAGGCCCACCAAGGCGACGAUCCGUAGCUGGUCUGAGAGGAUGAUCAGCCACACUGGAACUGAGACACGGUCCAGACUCCUACGGGAGGCAGCAGUGGGGAAUAUUGGACAAUGGGCGCAAGCCUGAUCCAGCCAUACCGCGUGGGUGAAGAAGGCCUUCGGGUUGUAAAGCCCUUUUGUUGGGAAAGAAAAGCAGCAGGUUAAUACCCCGCUGUUCUGACGGUACCCAAAGAAUAAGCACCGGCUAACUUCGUG